rnacentral:rRNA from 1 species
AGAACCUGAAACCGUGUACGUACAAGCAGUGGGAGCCUCUCUUUAUGGGGGGUGACUGCGUACCUUUUGUAUAAUGGGUCAGCGACUUAUAUUCUGUAGCAAGGUUAACCGUAUAGGGGAGCCGCAGGGAAACCGAGUCUUAAUUGGGCGUUAAGUUGCAGGGUAUAGACCCGAAACCCGGUGAUCUAGCCAUGGGCAGGUUGAAGGUUGGGUAACACUAACUGGAGGACCGAACCGACUAAUGUUGAAAAAUUAGCGGAUGACCUGUGGCUGGGGGUGAAAGGCCAAUCAAACCGGGAGAUAGCUGGUUCUCCCCGAAAGCUAUUUAGGUAGCGCCUCGUGAACUCAUCUCCGGGGGUAGAGCACUGUUUCGGCCAGGGGGCCAUCCCGGCUUACCAACCCGAUGCAAACUGCGAAUACCGGAGAAUGUUAUCACGGGAGACACACGGCGGGUGCUAACGUCCGUCGUGAAGAGGGAAACAACCCAGACCGCCAGCUAAGGUCCCAAAGUCAUGGUUAAGUGGGAAACGAUGUGGGAAGGCCCAGACAGCCAGGAUGUUGGCUUAGAAGCAGCCAUCAUUUAAAGAAAGCGUAAUAGCUCACUGGUCGAGUCGGCCUGCGCGGAAGAUGUAACGGGGCUAAACCAU